GGGUCUAUGGUGUAAAGGUUAGCAUUCUGGACUCUGAAUCCAGCGAUCCGAGUUUAAAUCUCGGUGGAUCGUUACA
rnacentral:tRNA from 1 species